GGCAGUUAAAAAUCGCAUUAUUGAAAUCUUGUUUUAUUACAUAUUAAUCAAAGCUCAUUUUGUGAUUUUCCCUUGUUUAAAAUAAAGGACAGUAAGUGUUCCUUAGGUUUAGUACAGCAAAGUUGUUGCACGAAUCCAUGGCUGAAAACGCAGGAAAUAGCAUUUCCGAGGUUCAAAUUUUAAAAUUUUCUCGGGGGAGCAUGCCCCCGAACCCCCCAAGGUUACAGGUCAUUCAUAUACUGUACCCUCCCCCCUUUUGGAGUACUCUACUCUAUCCCUGCAUGUUUUAGGUUUUGGUGCAGUUAUACAUUCUUUGUAAGUAAACUUGCA